rnacentral:lncRNA from 1 species
GUUUGGAGUGGAUACAAAGUCAUUAGUAUCAUGCAACGUCAGUGUCAUUUUAUUUUCUUGUGAUUCCUUUAUGAUUUUGAUCGUUUUUAAAAUUGAAGAAUGUUUUAGUCAUGUUUUGAACUUAUUGGAAAUUCCCAAAAUGUAAAAAAAAAAAAAAAAAGAUGUCGAACUUUCAAAUUAGAACCAGUCACUGACACGCAAGAAUACAUCUUGGAGGAAGAGGACGGAGGGGCACCACCGAUCACACAACAGGACGUAACGUGCAGAAGGAAGACGCGGCCGCUGCUGUCCCCACUGGAGCAGAGAGGACGUGAGCCUUUGAUGUUCCACUCAAAAUGAUUAAUUCCCAGC